rnacentral:rRNA from 1 species
GGUACGUUGACACCUCGACGGAUGACCAAGGACCACCUUUCUCAAGAAGGGAAAACAUCUUGUGAACUGUUUUUGUCUCUGGCGGUCGGAUAUUCUCAAAAACUAUCUGUCAGCUACCGGACUGGUCACGGAUGUGAUCACGUUUUGGAAGCCGUGGACAAGCCGCCAAAAGCUUAGUGAAGACCUCUGUAGCUUUGCUUGGCAAGGCUGCUGAGUGAUUCAUGAAAAACCAAAUUCUAUGUUUAGUUGACUGACCUACAUCACAUAAAGUAAUGUAAAUGAAACAACUUUUGGCAACGGAUCUCUUGGCUCUCGCAACGAUGAAGAACGCAGCGAAAUGCGAUAUGUAGUGUGAAUUGCAGAAUUCAGUGAAUCAUCGAAUCUUUGAACGCACAUUGCACUUCCUGGUAUUCCGGGGAGUAUGCUCGUUUCAGAAUCAUUAAAACCUCAAGAGACUCGUGUCUGCCCAUCCGGGGCUUUGGCAACGUCUGUGGUCCCGAGUGGCGCAGACCGAGUUUCUGGACUUGAGCUUGUUUGUUCGUAAGAACAAUGGCUUUAAAAAGAGUAUUUGCGUUGCUCGAGCUUCAUAGCUGGAAGUAGAAAACCAAGUGCAACAGAUGUGUAUUCAUUUUGAAACAUUUGGACUUUUCGUAAUGAAAGCACGAGCGCAAAUCCAACACGGAUUGACUGAUUCCUAUUUGGAACUGGUUCAAACCACAACAAUGUUGCGGGACGGACGUCCCAGACAUUGAAAACUUGGUCUGAAAUCGAGUAAG